GCAAGGAAGCAGAAGUGGGCAGAUUUGGGUACAGGGGUGUGUAUAGGGGACCUUUGAAGAGGAAAAUAGGAAAGGGAGUAAUAUUUGAAAUGUAAAUGAAAAAAAUAUCUAAUAAAAAAAAAGAAAGAAAGGAACAGAUUUUGUUUUGGGAUGAAGCAUUUCAGAGCCAUAUAAAGUUAUUGCAGCAGUUCAGAAUUCUUAGGGAAAGAUCACCUUCCAAAUAGUAGAUGAACAUCCAGUGUUUUAGGUAUUUCUAGAUCCACCUCCAAAGGCAUUUACCCUGCUAAAUUGCAUGUAUUAAAUCAGUUUUAGUUUUUUAAGUUCUUAUUUAAAUGAAUAUAGAAUGAAAGUAUAAACUUUAGAGCUUUUACUAGUAGGGCAAUAAAUCUGCCAUUUGAGAAACUCUACUGAGUAUUCCUCCAAGAGAAGCACCGUUGAAGGGCUUGUUAAAGUGGUGGAAGUCACAUUGCUCUGGAAAUUUCAAGGGUUUCUAAUGGGACCCAGGAUUUUCAGUGAUGAGUGUCUAUAGAAUCCACUAAAUGGUUUCUGAAAGUUUGUAUUCAUAUUUAAAAGUAUAUGUUUAGAAAAAGAUGGUGUACCUGUUUAAUGUAUGUGUUAUUGUGAGGAGGAUUUUUACAGAUAUUAAGUCAUGAGACCCUAACAUAUAUCAACAGCAAAGAAUCAGAAGAUUAAUUCAAUUCACAUAGUUGCUAAUGUUAUAGAUUCCCAAAAUAUUCUCUAUUUUUAUCACUUUAAUGCUUCCCCACCUGAACGGAGUCCCAAUAUCAUCAGGAGCGAGUAAUGUUUCUAUAAGCAUACUAUGUCUCUCUGAGCAUUCUGGAAACACAAUCACUUGUCUAUAUGUUCACAGAAGACUGAGUAAAUUCACACUGGGAAGGUGACUCAGGGGUUAAAGCUCUUGCCAUCAAACACGACUGAAGUCUGGGCACCAGAACCCUUAUAAAUAUCAGGAAAGCCAUGUCAUUGUAAACUGGGAAGGCUGAGACAGAGAAACUUUCUAGCUCCAUCAGCAAACUAUGGAUUUUAUUGACAAAUCUUUCUGGAAAGAACAAGGUGAAGUGUGACUAAGGAAGAUUCCUAUAUAAACCUUGGGUCUGCACAAGCACUUACACACAUGUGCAUGUUCAACUAUGUGACUUCACACUGGGGAAAAAAUGGAAAAAUAAAAUGAUUAGCUAAGUGGUUUCUAUUGACAAAAAAUACUUUAUAUAAUUAAUAAAAUAGUUUCAGGUGAAUUGUCCUGUUCAUUACAUUGAUGCAGAUUAGCAAUUAAAAUCUAUUCUGUUUUAUCUAUCUAUCUAUCUAUCUAUCUAUCUAUCUAUCUAUCUAUCUAUCUAUCUAUCUAUCUAUCUAUCUACCUACCUAUCUAUCUCCACUGCAAAAUGUGCACUUACACUACUUUAUAGAACAAGUUACCUCAUCUGAAUUUGCAUAUGUAACAGUAUAUUUGGAGUGUAAGUGUUAGAGGAGAACAGAGGCACACAGAAACUGUAUUACAAAGCACAAUUACCUUUAUUGGUGUGAGCAAAGGAAACAAUGGGAAUACACUCAUUUGAACCUUUUAAGUGCAUCACUAUAAUUGUUUGAUAUUCUUUACUUAUAAAGACAGGUUUCUGACAAGCUCUGAUUCUUUCUUCAAUACCUUGCAGAAAGAAAUCAGAAUGUGCAUAAUUCUCACAAUUAAUGGGUCCGUACAGAAAUGAAAGAGGAUUUUAUUUUUAUAAAAAUAUACUGGACAGAAGUGUGAGAAUCAAAUUGCAUAACUACCUUCACUGUUGUAAGUUUGCCUUAUGCUCUAAAGUACAUUGCAUUAUAGCCCAACAUGGAAACAAUCUAAGACCCAGCCACUGUAUCUAUAAAUG
rnacentral:lncRNA from 1 species